rnacentral:miRNA from 1 species
UAUGUGAAAGUAAUGGUG